AUGGCGCUCGCGUCUCUCCCCAAGGUGGUGCUCGGCUCCAUCGCCUUCGCCGUCUUCUGGAUGAUGGCGGUGUUCCCGUCGGUGCCCUUCCUGCCCAUCGGCCGCACGGCGGGCUCGCUGCUCUCCGCCGUGCUCAUGAUCGUCUUCCACGUGAUCAGCCCCGACGACGCCUACGCCUCCAUCGACCUCCCCAUCCUCGGCCUGCUCUUCUCCACCAUGGUCGUCGGUGGCUACCUCAAGAACGCCGGCAUGUUCAAGCACCUCGGCACGCUCCUCGCCUGGAAGAGCCAGGGCGGCCGCGACCUGCUCUGCCGCGUCUGCGUCGUCACCGCGCUGGCCUCGGCGCUCUUCACCAACGACACCUGCUGCGUCGUGCUCACCGAGUUCGUGCUCGAGCUCGCCGCCGAGCGGAACCUCCCGGCCAAGCCCUUCCUCCUGGCCCUCGCCUCCAGCGCCAACAUCGGCUCCAGCGCCACCCCCAUCGGCAACCCGCAGAACCUGGUCAUCGCCUUCAACAGCAAGAUCUCCUUCCCCAGGUUCCUCAUCGGCAUCCUGCCGGCCAUGCUCGCCGGCAUGGCCGUCAACAUGGUCAUGCUGCUCUGCAUGUACUGGAAGGACCUCGAGGGUGUGGCCCCCGACGCGGCCGGCAAGCAGAUGUCGGUCGUCGAGGAGGGCGGCCGCUCGCCGUCCGUGGCGUCGCUCAAGAGCCCGCACCCGUUCAACGGCACCACGGCCGACGACGGCAACGAGUCGAUGAUGGAGGAGAACAUCUCGACCAAGCACCCGUGGUUCAUGCAGUGCACGGAGCACCGACGCAAGCUGUUCCUCAAGAGCUUCGCCUACAUCGUGACGCUGGGCAUGGUGGUGGCCUACAUGGCUGGGCUCAACAUGUCGUGGACGGCCAUCACCACCGCCAUCGCGCUGGUCGUCGUCGACUUCCGGGACGCCGAGCCGUGCCUCGUCAAGGUCUCCUACUCGCUGCUCGUCUUCUUCUCCGGCAUGUUCAUCACGGUGAGCGGGUUCAACAAGACGGGGCUGCCGGGCGCCAUCUGGAACUUCAUGGCGCCCUACUCCAAGGUGGACAGCGCCGGCGGCAUCUCCGUGCUCUCCGUCAUCAUCCUCCUCCUCUCCAACCUCGCCUCCAACGUACCAACAGUGCUGCUGAUGGGGAACGAGGUGGCGACCGCAGCGGCCCUGAUCUCGCCGGCAGCGGUGACGCGGUCGUGGCUGCUGCUGGCGUGGGUGAGCACGGUGGCAGGGAAUCUCUCGCUGCUGGGGUCGGCGGCGAACCUGAUCGUGUGUGAGCAGGCGCGUCGGGCGCCGCGUAACGCCUAUGAGCUCACCUUCUGGAACCACCUCAUCUUUGGCGUGCCCUCCACCCUCAUCGUCACCGCCGUCGGCAUCCCCCUCAUCGGAAAGAUGUAG
rnacentral:rRNA from 1 species